rnacentral:rRNA from 1 species
UAGGGAAUCUUCCACAAUGGACGCAAGUCUGAUGGAGCAACGCCGCGUGAGUGAAGAAGGUUUUCGGACCGUAAAGCUCUGUUGUUGGUGAAGAAGGAUAGAGGUAGUAACUGGCCUUUAUUUGACGGUAAUCAACCAGAAAGUCACGGCUAACUACGUGCCAGCAGCCGCGGUAAUACGUAGGUGGCAAGCGUUGUCCGGAUUUAUUGGGCGUAAAGCGAGCGCAGGCGGAAGAAUAAGUCUGAUGUGAAAGCCCUCGGCUUAACCGAGGAAUUGCAUCGGAAACUGUUUUCUUGAGUGCAGAAGAGGAGAGUAGAACUCCAUGUGUAGCGGUGGAAUGCGUAGAUAUAUGGAAGAAUACCAGUGGCGAAGGCGGCUCUCUGGUCUGCAAACUGACGCUGAGGCUCGAAAAGCAUGGGUAGCGAACAGGAUUAGAUACCCUGGUAGUCCAUGCCGUAAAACGAUGAGUGCUAAGUGUUGGGAGGCUUCCGCCUCUCAGUGCUGCAGCUAACGCAUUAAGCACUCCGCCUGGGGGAGUACGACCGC